rnacentral:misc_RNA from 1 species
AACGCACAUUGCGCCCCUUGGUAUUCCAUGGGGCAUGCCUGUUCGAGCGUCAUUGACACCCCUCAAGCUCUGCUUGGUGUUGGGGCCGUUGUCGUUUCCUCGCCCGCCAGCGACACAGCGACACCCCUCAAAGUCAUUGGCGGCCUUUCUGCCCAGCUUCCCGCGCAGCAGUUCGCGCUUCGGAGACUACUUUGGCAGGCUGGCAUCCAUCAAGCUGACCCUUCAUGCUUGACCUCGGAUCAGGUAGGGAUACCCGCUGAACUUAA